ensembl:lncRNA DGCR5 DiGeorge syndrome critical region gene 5
GCUGCCGGGCCGGGGCUGGGCCGGAGCGGCGGCGCCUGGAUGCCGGCCCGGGGCUGGGCCGGAGACUGGCGCCCGCCCCGAAGCGACUUUCGGUCCCCGACCCGCUCCGCCUGACCCCUAUGAUGAAGAGGGCGUCCACUGGAGAACAUCAUCCACUCGGGCAGUGCCCUCCUGGCCCCGGCCACCAGGGCAGCGUGGGAGCAGAUCCAGCGGAGCGAGGGUGGCACGGCACAGCUGCUCCGGCGCCUCGAGGGCUACUUCAGCAAUGUGGCACGCAACGUGCAGUGGACGUACCUGCAGCCCUUUGUCAUCGUCACCACCAACAUGAUUCUUGCUGUCGACAUCUUUGACAAGUUCAACUUCACGGGAGCCAGAGUCCCAUGGUUCGACGCCAUUCAUGAAGAAUUCCCCAGGGAGCUGGAGUCCUCCAUCUCCUUCCCAGCCAACUUCUUCAAACCACCUGAAGAAAAAGUGCUUAGGUAGAGGUUGAGCAUCCUAAUCCUGAAAUCUGAAAUGCUCCAGAAUCUGAACCUUCUUGAGCACCAACCUGACACUUAAAGGAAGUGCUCAUUGGAGGAAGGCCCCCUGGUAAGGCCAGCCAGCCGGAGGACCACCCCGCAGACCACACGCCCAGGGCCUGGCACCGAGGGGGAGGCCCCGAUCAGCAGGUGAAAGCGACACCCUGAUGACACUGGCUAGUUCACCUUCACUCUGGUCAUCGUUUACUGUACCCCGGGGCAGCUCCCGCCUGAGCCCUAUGACCCCAACCGCCGCAGCCUCUGGCUGCCUCACUGGCCCAUCAUUAAUACGUCGAUGGUGAGCGCACUGGUGUACAGCGAGGGGGCUCCACUUCCGAGACCCCUGGAGAGGCCCGUCCUGGUGGAGUUCACCCUGCUGGAGAUGGAGAAGCGAACCAAGCCUGUCUGUGUGUUCUGGAACCAUUCCCUGGCGUAAAUGUGAUGCCGGGAGUUCUGCAUCUUCAUGUGAGGGCUUUGCCAAGACACAGAGAACCCGCAGGGUUGUUGGCUCAGCGGCAGAUCGUCCCACGGGGACAGUCUCUUGUGGUCUGUGUCUCCCCCUUCAGCCCCCUGUGGGGCAGUGAGCCUCCUGCUCUGCUUCUGUGGGUGCAUCAGAGCCCCCCCAGAUGCCCACACGCAGACGCGCACAGGCCUGCACGUGGAAACACAGACAUGCGCACACGCAGGCCCACACACAGACGCACACAGAGCUGCACGUGGAGACACGUGCGCACACGCAGGCCCACACGCAGGCCCACACACAGGUGCACGCGGACCUGCACGUGGAGACACAGAUGUGUGCACAUGCAGGCCCACACACAGGUGAGCGUGGACCUGUGUGAACAGAUGCGCGCAGACCUGCACGUGGAGACACAGACAUGCAGGCGCACAAAGAGAUCCCUCAAGGCUGACACCCAGGAAGGGGCCUCUCACUUGUGGGACUCCCGAGAUGCAGUGGCCAACACGAGUGUAGUGCCCAGUUCACUGCUGGAUAAGACAGAGGCCUGUUCUGGUCACACAUGGGAGGCAGAACCCAGAGACUGGGCCCAGGAGCCCUUCUGCUGACAGUGGGAACUCCCAGCUACGUGUGGGGGUCCCCAUACCAGACAAAGGUCCCUGACCUUAGUCUUGCCCGAGAGGCCGACACAGCCCAGCUUUGGGGUCUGGCUUUACCCACAAGAGGCCACACCUUGCCACAGCACUGUUUAUCUGGCCUGUUUCAGAAGCACCGUCAGAGUGGCGAAGGCAGGAGGUGGUGCACGAGAGUCUACGUUCUAGCAUCCAUUCAAGUGAGGGAAAGGCGUUUCGUACUUAGAAAAAUGCAAAAUUAAUGAUUCUCACCCACACAUGAGACUGUGGAUUCACCCAUGUAUGAGAUAGUGGAUUCAGAGCCAUGCUGUGGCUCUCAUCUGCUGGGAGCCAGUAGUGUUUGUGCUUUGGUUUUGCUUUUUUAGCUACAUGGUUUAUGUGAGGUGCGGACUUACUUGAGUUGCUCUGUCUUUACAGGGAGCUUGCUUUUUCUCUGCUGGUUUGUUUUCACUUUUGCUGUCUCUGUUUAGAAGAAAACAUUAGAACUGGGGUGUGGUGGAAGGAUGGGAGCACAAUCUGGGAGGGGAAGACCUGCUCUCUCUCCACAUACCAGGAGGGAGUGGCAGGAAGGGGAGACACUGUGCCGGACUCAGGGAGUCAAGAGCGUGAGCACCCCCAGGCUUCAAUCUGCUGAACGUUGUGCAUCUGGGGGCGCCCGUGCAGCAGGAACACUCUCCCCAUCACAAUUCCUCUGGGCACAGUGGAGAGCCAUGAGUGGGGGCUGUCCUGGGGGCUGCGCUAUGGUGAGUGAGCCCACGCCAGGAGCCAGUUCAGCCCAGCCUCAUUCUUCUCCUGCUUCUUUGCUUUCCAAGUUCUAGUUCAUAAGCAACCAGCACAGUACCUGGAAUGUAAGAGGCGCUUGGCUUAUAAAAGAGAGAAGAAAGGAACCCCUUUCACCACGAGGGACGUCAGGCCCAGCUCUCUGUCCCGGGCAUUCAUCUUUUUUCCGGCAAUUAGCUUCAGCUCUAAUGACCUGCUGUCUGCUUUAUGUUGCACCUAUGAUUUCCAGAUUGUAAAGUUUGUGGCAAAUGUAUUAACGUUCACAUCCCAUUUACAGAUUAGCAAACUAAGGAUCUGAGAGGUUAUGUGAUUUUCCCAGUCUGGCGGAGGGCAGGGCCCUGUCAGAAGCCGAGACACACCUCGUAACAGCUUGUUAUUUGGGGCUUCCCAUCAGUGAGGCAGGAGUCAUAAUGGGGCCCUGGCUUCUGGGCAAUUCCCAUAAAACAUUGUGCCACCUGAAGAUGGAAGUGUCAGAGGAAGGCGAGAUGUUAUUUCUGAAAGCAUCUACCCUCAGAAAGAGACAGAGGAGUGCAUCGCAGCUGUGUGAACCCGGGGUGGUGGUGGUUCCAGCAGCGGGGCACGUGGUGGACGCAAGACGGCCCCGUUUGAGUUUUGCUGCUAGGUGACAUGUAGAACUUGAACUUCAGAGGGUGCUCCUUGGAGGCCCUGAUGAGAGAGACACAGAAGGGAAGGGAGACUGUUCCCAUGGUCCUGCCUCUGCGGCAGCGAGCCUGCUGCUCUUGCAGCUGGGUGGCUGUUCGGUGCAGGGGGCCGGUGAGGAACACGGUGGGGAGCAGCCUGCGAGGGCGCCGGGCUUUCAGCACUCACUAUACCUGCUGUUUGGUUUGGCCAGGAUGGCCUGGGAGUCCCCAGGGCCGGGCAAAGACUGCCCCCAACAGACAUGGGCGGAGGGAACCGUCUCACCCCUGCCUCUUCUCCCUUCUCUACGCAGUGUCAGUGGGACGGGAGGGUGGUCUGCCCGGGGCUUCAAGCUCCUGUCCAGGAACCGGACCCAUGUCGUACGCCAGUGCAGCCACACGGCCAGCUUCGAGGUGCUCAUGGACGUCUCCAGGUGUGAGAUGGGCAUCUUCUUGUGGCCACUAUGCCCGCUGAGCCUACCCCCAAACCUGCCCCUCCUCAAACUAAAUCUUCCAUUCUAAGCGCUUUGAACGAAGCAAAUCAACCAAUUAAAAA